UUUUCAUUCAUCUUUUAGAUAGCAAAUCACAGGGUUCUUAUGAUAUUACUCUUUGCUUUCUUACAAGGUCUGUUAUUAGAUGACGUGGGAAUAUGGCAGUAUGUUAACAGCUAUCACUGCGCAUCUUUGGAUCUUACAGUAAUUCAAAUAAUGAAGGGAAUCUACACUUACGUCUCUUUGAAUUUUAUGAAGACAAAGCAGAGAACAAUGCUUGGUCCAUGGUCCAUGUCAUCCACAUCAAGAGUUUUUACUUGGAACCACCUGCAAGGAGAAAAAGAAGUGCUAUGGGAGAAUACAUGGGCUUCUCUUCAUGAACAGAGUGUGUAAGAACCCUGAAGGUAGACAGGGUUGAAAACACUUAAUUCACUAUUUUUUUUUUUCUAGUAAAAGAUAUGGGAUCACCUUCACCCUUUAGCCUAUCUCAGGAACCAUCAGAGUCUUGAAAACCAACACUAUUUACAUAGGAAUUUGUAACUUUUAUUGUGCUUGAUCAAGUUCAUUUCAUCUAGUUCUACAAGUUUAAUUUAUUGUAAUUCUAAUAAACCAUUGUCAAAAUUAACUAAAUAUUACCUUUCAGUCUCUAUAUAAGUGAAAUCAUUAUGUCAAAUUGUUUUAAUGCAACAUGUCAGAUUCUUCUUUAUCUAACAUAAAUAAAGUAAUUUAUCAGAGAGAAGAGAGUGACAACACUGGCAUUUUUUUACAAGUGAGGCUGAAAUGAUCCUCUGAAAUCCCCAAGGAUGACAAUUUAGUGAAAUGAUCAUCUAUUCACAGUGUUUCCAUUGAAAUACACUACAAAGAACAGGGAUAUUCAGGUUAUAGCAAAA
rnacentral:lncRNA from 1 species